CAUUCAUUCAGAAAGAGGUAGACCACUUCCCAAAAUCAAGGUCAUCAGAAGUAAUGGCAACGUCAUUGUUGUGAGUGCUACAUGGUUUGCUAGUGCAAGCAGGCCAAUGGCAACCAAGCGCGCAGUCCUUCCUCCCUCACUUUAAAAACCACCAGCCGCCACUGCUGUGCACACUAGGUGAAGGGGCCAGAGAUUUUUCAGCGACACCCGCGAAGGGUCACGGGCCUCUGCCCGUGGCCCAUAGUAGCUAGAGUUAAUAUCUCUCACACGUGUUCUACACAAUUCCUAGACUUUCGUUCCAUAGCCAGUUACCAUGCCGAAACAUGCCGACGACUUUAUAAUAAAUGAAGUGAGUUAAAGCAACC
ensembl:lncRNA